UACAGAGGGUGCAAACGUUGCUCGGAAUCACUGGGCAUAAAGCGCAUGUAGGCGGUCUCCUAAGUCUGGUGUGAAAGCCCUGGGCUCAACCUGGGAACUGCAUCCAAAACUACUGAGCUAGAGUACGGUAGAGGGUAGUGGAAUUUCCUGUGUAGCGGUGAAAUGCGUAGAUAUAGGAAGGAACACCAGUGGCGAAGGCGACUACCUGGACUGAUACUGACACUGAGGUGCGAAAGCGUGGGGAGCAAACAGGAUUAGAUACCCUAGUAGU
rnacentral:rRNA from 1 species